rnacentral:lncRNA from 1 species
CACCCAGUAUUUCAGUUAACUUCCUGUUGCCUGCAAGAUGUGGGACUCUCAGCUACUUCUCUGGCACCAUGUCUGUCUGCAUGCUGCCAUGCUUCCCACAGUGAUGACUGAGCCUCUGAAACUAUAAGCAAGCCACCCCAAUUAAUUGUUUUCAUUUAUAAGUGUUGCAGCAAUAAAAACCCUAAGACACCCCUCAUCCUGUCUGAGAGAAAUCCCCUUCCAUACUUCGGAUCUUUGGUUUCCCACACCCAUAGUCCUGCUUUAAGCCCCUCUCACUCUGCUGAGUCUGUGGCUAGAGAUCCUGCAGAAGACAGUGAAAGUGGAUGGCAGCCCCAUACUGAGUCAGACAGAGCUUCUGCAGUCCGGAGGAAAUGAUCCCAAAUCACAGUUCACUCACUGACUGCGCUUCAUAGGGAACCAAGUCCCAGGUGCUGGG